rnacentral:rRNA from 1 species
GCCGCGGUAAGACGUAGGGCGCGAGCGUUGUCCGGAUUUAUUGGGCGUAAAGAGCUCGUAGGCGGCUUGUCGCGUCGACUGUGAAAACCCGCGGCUCAACUGCGGGCUUGCAGCCGAUACGGGCAGGCUAGAGUUCGGUAGGGGAGACUGGAAUUCCUGGUGUAGCGGUGAAAUGCGCAGAUAUCAGGAGGAACACCGGUGGCGAAGGCGGGUCUCUGGGCCGAUACUGACGCUGAGGAGCGAAAGCGUGGGGAGCGAACAGGAUUAGAUACCCUGGUAGUCCACGCUGUAAACGUUGGGCGCUAGGUGUGGGGGGCCUCUCCGGUUCUCUGUGCCGCAGCUAACGCAUUAAGCGCCCCGCCUGGGGAGUACGGCCGCAAGGCUAAAACUCAAAGGAAUUGACGGGGGCCCGCACAAGCGGCGGAGCAUGCGGAUUAAUUCGAUGCAACGCGAAGAACCUUACCUGGGUUUGACAU